rnacentral:rRNA from 1 species
AGAGUUUGAUCCUGGCUCAGAAUGAACGCUGGCGGCGUGCCUAACACAUGCAAGUCGGAUGUGCCGCAAGGUGCAUGGCAGACGGGUGAGUAACGCGUGGGGAAUCUACCUCUUUGUGGGGAAUAACGCUCCGAAAGGAGUGGUAAUACCGCAUGAGACCAAUGGCUGGAAUGUUGUUGGUGAAACCUGGGGACCGCAAGGCCUGGGGCAAGGAGAGGAUCCUGCGUCUGAUUAGCUAGUUGGCGGGGUAACGGCCCACCAAGGCGACGAUCAGUAGCCGGCCUGAGAGGGUGAUCGGCCACACUGGAACUGAGACACGGUCCAGACUCCUACGGGAGGCAGCAGUGGGGAAUUUUGCGCAAUGGGCGAAAGCCUGACGCAGCAACGCCGCGUGGGUGAUGAAGGUCUUCGGAUCGUAAAACCCUGUCGUCAGGGACGAAGGUUUGGGGGUUAAUAACCCUUAGGCUUGACGGUACCUGGAGAGGAAGCCCCGGCUAACUCUGUGCCAGCAGCCGCGGUAAUACAGAGGGGGCAAGCGUUAUCCGGAAUUAUUGGGCGUAAAGAGCUCGUAGGCGGUUUGUCGCGUCUGCCGUGAAAGUCCGGGGCUCAACUCCGGAUCUGCGGUGGGUACGGGCAGACUAGAGUGAUGUAGGGGAGACUGGAAUUCCUGGUGUAGCGGUGAAAUGCGCAGAUAUCAGGAGGAACACCGAUGGCGAAGGCAGGUCUCUGGGCAUUAACUGACGCUGAGGAGCGAAAGCAUGGGGAGCGAACAGGAUUAGAUACCCUGGUAGUCC